rnacentral:lncRNA from 1 species
GCAUUGGGUCGGCCUGGUAUUCUGUCGGUGUUGGCGCUUCUUCUCCCAAGCUCUUGCAGCCCCCUCGGGACUAGGUUUCCAACGGCGCUUGCGGGGGGCCUCGCGGAGGUGGAUGUGGAAAAGGCGAGCGCGGGGGAACUGUGCUGUAACCAUCGCCCCGCCUCCACAGAAAGCCCCGAAGCGCCGGCUCGGGGCCGAACGCGGGCAUCCGGCGUUCGUCUGUUAGGCAGGCAGACAUUAAGCGCCUACUGUGUGCUGGGCCCUACUCAAGACCCAGGCGGGGAGAACGGCGUCUGUCCGGUAGGCGCCCAGGGCUGCUGCAAAGCCCCGGAGCGAGGAGUGUGGCCCCUCAAACAGGGAGGAGAUGAGGUCCGAGGCCGACCGAGGUCAGAGACCCGCACCCACGAAAAGGGUCCACCCGUCGGGCUGGCUGCUUCCCAGUGCCGUGGAGAGCCCCUGAAGGUUUCUUUUUUUGAGAAGGAAUCUCGCUGUGUCGCCCAGGCUAGAAUGCAGUGGCGCUUUCUCGGCUCACUGCAACCUCCGCCUCGGGUUCAAGCUAUUCUCGUGCCUCAGCCUCCCGAAUAGCUGGGAUUACAGGCGCCUGCCACCAUGCCCGGUUAAUUUUUGUAUUUUUAGUAGAGACGAGGUUUCACCAUGUUGGCCAGGCUGGUCUUGAACUCUUGACCUCAAAUGAUCCGCCUGCUUCGGCCUCCCCAAGUCCUGGGAUUACAGGCGUGAGCCACCGCGCCUGGCCCCUUGAAGGGUUUUAUGCGGAGCAGUGAUCCCAUUCAUGCAUUUGAAAGACCUCUCUGGCUGUUGUGUGGAGAACAGAUCAAAGGGGGAGAAAGUGAGUUCAGAUAAACCAGCUCCGAGACUGCAUAAUCCAGUCAAGAGAUGAAGGGACUGGGUUUGAGAAUAUUGGGAGAUGAGAAUCAUGGCCCAGCACAGUGGCUCACGCCUGUAAUCCCAGCACUUUGGGAGGCUGAGGCGGGAGGAUCAGUUGAGCCCAGCAGUUGGAGGCCAGCCUGGGCAACAGGGGAAGACCCCAUUUCUACCAAAAAAUACAAAAUUAGCCGGCCAUGGUGGUGCAUGCCACAGUAGUCCCAACUACUCAAAAGGCUGAGGCAGGAGGAUCCUUUGAGCCCUGGAGUUGGAGGCUGCAGUGAGCUAUGAUCAUGCCACUUGCAUUACAGCUAGAAAUUAGUAAGAGCAAGUGACCCCUUGGGUAUGGGUACCCCGUUUCUGAAGUGAUUUUUUUUUUUGAAAGACACGAUCUCCCUCUGUCACCCAGGCUGGAGUGUAGUGGUGUGAUCAUGGCUCACUGCAGCCCCGAACUCCUGGGCUCAAGUGAUCCUCCUGCCUCAGCCUCCUGAGUAGUUGGGACUACAGGCGUGCACCACCAUACCCGACUAAUUUUGUAUUUGUGUGUGUGUGGCGACGGGGUCUCACUAUGUUGCCUAAAGUCAUUUCUUUUUGUUGUUUGUUUGUUUUGAGACAGAGCCUCACUCUGUCACCAGGCUGGAAUGCAGUAGCACAAUCUCGGCUCACUGCAACCUCCGACUCCCUGGUAUAAGCGAUUCUCCUGCCUCAAACUCCCGGGUAGCUGGGAUUAUAGGCAUGCGCCACCACGCCCAGCUAAUUUUUGUAUUUUUAGUAGAGAUGGGGUUUCACCAUGUUGGCCAGGAUGGUCUCGAUCUCCUGACAUCAUGAUCUGCCCACCUCGGCCUCCCAAAAUGCUGAGAUUACAGGCGUGAGCCACCGUGCCCAGCCUGUGAUUUCUUAAUCAGAAGAGUACCUGAUUGCUCUCCUUGGGUUUAAGAAGGCAGAAUAAAUAGCUACAUGAAUUCAGCCCACUGAAUACAUUCUAAAGUGUAACCUCAAUGUGAAAUAUAUUGUAUUGUAAUUGGAAGGCUGGGUCAGGAGCCCCAAAGCUUUGAAAGAACACCUCCUGAGAGUACAGUGGGAAAUCAACCACCAGCAGAUGAUGGUUGAGCUAGAAGAACCACGUGUUUCCACAGGGAGCUGCACACGAGGACCCGGUGGUCCCUGACCUGCCCUCUCCAGGGGGGACCUGCACUUUCUGCCACCAAAGAGGAUUCUCUGUAGGGAGGCCAGGAUGAUUCUCCAGAAUUUACCAUGCCUUGAGAUGAAAUUUCCUUUCAAACUUCCUUGUGUCCUUUUGUCCUCAUUCCAUGUUCACCAGUCUUCUGACUGUUUCAUUUUCCAGAAAGGAGAAACUGAAUAACAUGUAUAUUUUAACCUUGCCUGCAAUUGUAAAUCAAUAAAUUGGUGUAUUUACAUCAGAUCCCUGUGAGUUUGGUGCACAUAAGACAGUCAUGAAGACUUGGUCACUGUUGGUAGAGUUGGCCAAUAAAAUAUUGAACACAGUUAAAUUUGAAUUCAUGCAAUAUUUGGGGCAUAUUUAUACUAAAUAUGUGUUAUCUGAGAUUCAUAUUUAGCUAGGUGAUUUUUUAAUUUGCUAAAUAUGGCACUCCCACCUCCGGGUAUUGAGAUUGAGUUUCUGAAUUUGGAAAGCUGAUUCCAAACCACCUGGAACCUUAGUGAGCCCACCAUGCAAUCCAGUGACCCUCUAGUUUGUCUGCUGUAUUUUUCCUCCUUACUGAAGCAAGAGUGAUCUUUCCAGAAUGAGAUCGCAGUCUGUCCCUGCCUCCAGUGACUCCCCAGCAUCCCUGGCCCACCACCUGGCUAACUACUCCUCUCCUUUAGGUUGUUGCCUUAGACUUCAAUUUGCCUGGUAAAUCCUCCCUGACCCCAAAACACUAGUUUGGUGCCAUCCUCGCUGCCCGGGGCCCCAAACCCACUGCAUCAUGGAGCCGGAAGCACUAUUAUUUUUUUUCUUUUUUACUUCUCCACUUGAGUGGCAACUUUCUGAAGACAGGGACCAUGUCUGUCUUAUUCACCACUGUCUUCCCACUGUCACCACUGCUUUGCAUGGGGCUGAGCACCGAGCAGGUGCUCAGGAAGUAUUUAUUGAACAACUGAAUGAGGCCACUUGUCUUAUUUGAGCCUUCAAUCGAGCCCCGGGUCAGGGCAUGGUCAUAGGGACACUAAAUCAAGGCUUGUCAGACAAGGAGUGUCCCUUAGUGCACAGGAAGUGAGGAGGGGCUGAGUGUGAGGGGAAGACAAGGGACCAACCCCAGGGCAUCAGACCAAGCUUUUUGAGAUUAGACUUGGUCCUGCCUGAGAUCCAAAGCGGGAGGUCAGAGGCAGGAGCAGUAAGGCAAGGCUGGGAGCAGAGACAGGCCAAGAAAGAUCAGGAACCCAGUUAAAAAGUAGCUUUGGCUGGGAGCGGUGGCUCAUGCCUGUAAUCCCAGCACUUUGGGAGGCUAAGGCGGGUGGAUCACUUGAGGUCAGGAGUUCGAGACCAGCCUGGCCAACAUAGUGAAACCCCAUCUCUACUAAAAAUACAAAAAUUAGCCACAUGUGGUAGCACAUGCCUGUAAUCUCAGCUACUCGGGAGGCUGAGGCAGGAGUCUCGCUUGAUCCCAGGAGGCAGAGGUUGCAGUGUGCAGAGAUCAUGCCACUGCACUCCAGCCUGAGUGACAGAGUGAGACUCCAUCUCAAAAAAAAAAAAAAAAAAAAAAAAAGAAGUAGCUUUAACGUUCUCCAAAACCUUGCAGCAUUCAGAGCAGGCAGCUGUGACAAUAUUUGUGCACUGAGGGGACACUUUCUCUGCCUGGAUUCAGGGCAUAUGCUAUGGUUUGAAAAUGUCCCCCAAAUUUCAUGUGUUGGAAACUUAAUUUGUCUGCCCUCAUGAAUAAAUUAAUGUUGGCUCUGCCCUCAUGCAUGGAUUAAUGUCGCUGUUGUGGGAGUGAGUUGCUUAUCUCUUUGUUAUAGAGGCAAGCUCUCUCCGGCUCUCUCUCUCCUGCCCUCUUGCAUAUGUGCCCUCCACCAUGUUAUGGCACAGCAAGAAUGCAAAGACCCUUAGCAGAUGCUGCCACCGUGUCCUUGAACUUCUCAGCUUCCAGAACUACAAGAAACAAAUGUUUUUCCUGUAGGAAUUACCCAGUCUGGGAUAUUCUGUUAUAACAGCAGAAAACAGACUAACGCAGCAUGCUUCUCGCAUCUUGCCCUGCUGUGGGGUGGCAGAUUUCAUCCCACUGGACAGAAGGGCACUACAGCUCUAGCCACCUCCUAUGGGCGGAUUGGGCACACUGGGGGUGGGGGGCAGCCUCUAUGUGCCACUUCCACACGGGAGAGAUUCGGAGCUCCUGAAGGACGCUUGGGUGCUGCAACCAGCGUUUGUUGCUCAGGGAAAGGGUGGAUGUAGGGACCAGCCCUACAGGGUCUGUGGGUUUUUCUCCCCUUGUGCGGAGACGAGAGAUCGUAGAAAUAAAGACACAAGACAGAGAGAUAAAAGAAAAGACAGCUGGGCCUGGGGGACCACUACCACUGAGACGUGGAGACUGGUAGUGGCCCCGAAUGCCAGCCUGUGCUGUUAUUUAUUGGAUACAAGACAAGCGGGCAGGGUAAGGAGUGUGAGCCACCUCCAAUGAUAGGUAAGGUAACGUGGGUCACGUGUCCACUGGACAGGGGGCCCUUCCCUAUUUGGCAGCCAAGGUGGAGAGAAAGAGAGGGAG